GACGAACGCUGGCGGCAUGCUUAACACAUGCAAGUCGAGCGGUAAGGCCCUUUCGGGGGUACACGAGCGGCGAACGGGUGAGUAACACGUGGGUGACCUGCCCUUAGCUCUGGGAUAAGCCUGGGAAACUGGGUCUAAUACCGGAUAUGACUCCAUGACGCAUGUUGUGGGGUGGAAAGCCUUGUGCGGCUAGGGAUGGGCCCGCGGCCUAUCAGCUUGUUGGUGGGGUGAUGGCCACCAAGGCGACGACGGGUAGCCGGCCUGAGAGGGCGACCGGCCACACUGGGACUGAGAUACGGCCCAGACUCCUACGGGAGGCAGCAGUGGGGGAUCUUGCGCAAUGGGCGAAAGCCUGACGCAGCGACGCCGCGUGCGGGAAGAAGGCCUCGGUUGUAA
rnacentral:rRNA from 1 species